AGGCGAGGACGACUUCGCCCGGCCACACGGCCUGCACACGGGACGGCCCGA
rnacentral:ncRNA from 1 species